ACAAAUGUAACUGGUCGGUGACCCGAGUUAAAAGCAGAUCGCCAUCCAUUUAAAACCGUAAGAGCUCCGAGGAUGGCUCACCACUCAGCGUAGGAAACGCAAGUGAAUCGGAGUAAAUGACAUUACAGUAGUACAAUUCAGCCAUGGUCCGGAAAAAAACGCACUGAAUCGCAAAUGUUUCCUAACUGAAUUAGAAUAAAACGAACGCUGCUCCGUACGUAGGCUAUAACCACGAUAUAAAAACAGCCUAUUAUGUUUUAUUCGUAUUUUUCUCCGUCAAAGUCCCUCCAUCCCCCGGACAGGAUUGCGCUACGUCCACACCACACCGCUGGAAAUAAAGUUGCAGCUGGAAUUAAAUGCAAUCCGUUUUAAGUAUUUUAUACAAAUAAAACUGUGAUGUUUUGGGCAACAGCUGGAGAACAACCCGGUUCUGGUGAAGUCGAGCAGCAGCAUUACAUGCCCAAACCCAAUUUCUUCACAGCGCAGCCCCAGAAAAAGACCCACACAGUAGACACUUCGGAGCCCACAAAAGGCCCUACAGCUUUCAGUCCCAAUAAAAAAAAAAUCACUGCCAAAUCUAAGAAAAAAGAAGAAAAAAAGAAUUUUAUCCACCAGCCACUGUGAAGAGCGGGUGGUGCGUAUGUGAUUCCCUGAAGCACAGAAGAGACCCUCAUCUAGAUGACUAUUCAGAGGGGGGACCCAUCCAGGCUGGACAAGUAGGCCAGAAAUUUUGGCUGAUGCUGGACCCUGUGCCUCCCCCCACCAGUGUGACCCCGGACUGUACCUAGCAUGGGAGCACUGGGCAAAACGGAGAAGUCUGGGGUCACGGAGAGUUUUUGGGGGCGCCCAGAAAGUUAAAACACAGCAGGACAUAUACAGGUGUUAUAGUGGUUAGGAAAACCAGACUGGGGGGGGGGGGGAUUGUUAGGGGGAGUAGGAGGAGUGGAAGGGCACUCUGCCAGACACUCAGGCAGAAUGUCUGAUUUCAGCUGAUAUAGCACAAAUAUCAGCAAAUAAAAUCUUGAGGUAAGGAACUAUAUGCAUUACUUUGAGUGAGAGUACCGUCCGCCCCACUAAAAAAUUAAGCAGGCAGUUUGAUCUGAUGGACAAGUGGACGCUGAUUGGUCAGCAGUGUAACAUACAGCCCGCCUUGUGCACCGUUCCACAGAGUCAUUCUUGUUACCGUCCAUGACAGCAAGCAGAAGGCAGAGGAGUCCUCCAGGCACCCAAACGUGAGCCAAGGCAGACUCUGCCCAAUCCAUGCCAGCAUGUGGAUGCUAGGAAGAUCUCCUUUACAUGGACUCACCUGACAGGAAUUCAUUUCUCUUUUGUUUUAUCAACAAAACACAGAAUUUUAAGUAUGGGGAAUAAUGUAUACAGCCCUUUAUCAAUGGCCCUUCAUCUGAAAUUCAAAUGCGGCACAAACAAAACAAUUAUGUGCAAAGAGGACGUCUUGCCAGGAGAACGGGGUCUCUGUAGGCCGUGCAUGGUCAUCGCGUGGCACCGCGUCCCCGUGGGG